rnacentral:rRNA from 1 species
UACGUAGGUGGCAAGCGUUGUCCGGAUUUACUGGGCGUAAAGGGAGCGUAGGCGGACUUUUAAGUGGGAUGUGAAAUACUCGGGCUCAACCUGAGUGCUGCAUUCCAAACUGGAAGUCUAGAGUGCAGGAGGGGAAAGUGGAAUUCCUAGUGUAGCGGUGAAAUGCGUAGAUAUUAGGAAGAACACCGGUGGCGAAGGCGACUUUCUGGACUGUAACUGACGCUGAGGCUCGAAAGCGUGGGGAGCGAAC